rnacentral:rRNA from 1 species
UGAGGGAUAUUGCGCAAUGGGCGAAAGCCUGACGCAGCGACGCCGCGUGGGUGAUGAAGGUUUUCGAAUCGUAAAGCCCUUUUCUGCGUGACGAUGAUGACGGUAGCGCAGGAAAAAGUGUCGGCUAACUACGUGCCAGCAGCCGCGGUAAAACGUAGGACGCAAACGUUAUCCGGAAUUACUGGGCGUAAAGGGCGCGCAGGCGGGUGGGUAAGUGAGGCAUGAAAGCUCCCUGGCUAAACCGGGAGAGGAUGUCUGAGACUGCCGAUCUGGAGUGAGGUAGAGGGGUGUGGAAUUCCGCGUGUAGUGGUGAAAUGCGUAGAGAUGCGGAGGAACACCAGUGGCGAAGGCGGCACCCUGGACCUUAACUGACGCUGAGGCGCGAAAGCAUGGGGAGCGA